UAUUCAACACACCCUUGGAAAGAAUCAGUGUAACAAGGCUACACCUUUGAAUAACAGGUACAAUUUAUCUGACAGGCUUCUAAGCAGAUUCUGGUCUAACCAAUUUCACUCACAAGGCUCAGAUUAACCAGGGCAACAAUAGAAAACACUUGCCUAAGAUAUCACACAAGGAGUAUCAAAUCUGAGGACUUGUGAUUGUAAAAUGAAUUUCUUAACCAAUUGGCCAUGAUAAGAAAAAUAUGUAAUGAUAAUUACCUAAUGUGCUUAUUAUUACCACUGUUACUUUUCCAAAGACUUUGGUUCUGGAUUCAUAGCUAAAACUUCUUUUGAGCCCCGACUCUUCCAGCAUUUUAACUGCAGUUAGGCCUUGAGAGUUUUUUUUAUUUCCCAAAUAUAACAGCACAGCUAUUAUCAACAGUGAAAUGAUAAAUUAUAAGCUAUAUGACAGACUAGUGUCCAUUCAAGGGCAAUGUUGUGAUCUCAGUCACUUAUAUGCUAUGGAAACUGGGUAACUGGCCUGAGCAGUCUUAGGGUUCAAAACAGAAGAAAAAAAACUGUAAAGCAAAGCAGGAGGUUCCAUUGUCUGGUGGAAGUGCAACUGACAAAGAAUGAAUGUGAUUUUGCUUUAACUUCAUCACCUCAAAGACUGAAUAUACCACAGAAAAUAUCCAAAGUAGACACAAGGCAGCUAGAGAAGCUCCAUGGAGAUACUCAACUAAAUGUAUGAGUACCCACACCAAGAAACUCAACAGUCUUUGAAAUGAAGCACUUCAUACUUUUAGCUCAAAUUCUAAAAGCCAAUAAAUGUGCCUGUACAUGACAACUUGGCCUGCUAGAUAUAACAGGUUAAAAGACAUAUAGGUUAUUGCAGUUCUAGACAUUACAUCUGAAUAAAGAAUGAUGGUUGUAGCUGGAACACCUUUGAUUAACCUGCGAGAAACAGCAACCAAAUUUCUCUCAAAUCCUAUUCUACCAUCUUAGAAAAGAUAGAUUGAAUAAUGUAAGUCUACUCAGUCAGGAUUGGCAUAAAGUUAAACAACAACAGCAAAACUCCUUAAAGCACCAAGAACACUUCUAUAUGGUCACACAACUUGCUAGAAAUAGCCACUCAAUCUCUCUCAGACAAACUGACUGUCUUUAAAAAAUGCAGUCACAUUAAAUAAUGUAGGUCUAGAUACAUUAUAUCUGAAUAAAUUAAGGGUUAGUCACAGCUAGAACAUUUUUGAAUCAUAGAUCUACAGGAUCAGGACAUAAGGGUUAACAUAAGGCUAAAAAACAUCUACAACACUAAAAUAGAAAAGUGGAUUUUAUAUUAAUCCUGUUGUGAAACUCCACAGUCCAUUCUCUACUCUGGUUUCUGUAGAUCAUCCAGAGAAUUAAAAAAUCUAAACUACUAAAUAAAUAUGCAAGUUAUAUCAGGUGCUGAUAUUUUAAAUUGUAGAGAACUGUAAUAUAAAUAGCAGAACUAUAUCCUUGUUUGUCAAACUUAGGGAGGUGAAAUAUUUAUAAUUACCACUAAACAGAUGUGACCAAAUUAUAGGUGGAAAAUGAAGAACAUAUGGCUUAUUUGGGAUUUGUUCAAGGUUAUUUUGCUUUUGUUUUC
rnacentral:lncRNA from 1 species